rnacentral:rRNA from 1 species
UACGGGGGGGGUAAGCGUUGUUCGGAAUUACUGGGCGUAAAGGGCUCGUAGGCGGCCAACUAAGUCAGACGUGAAAUCCCUCAGCUUAACUGGGGAACUGCGUCUGAUACUGGAUGGCUUGGAUUCGGGAGAGGAAUGCGGAAUUCCAGGUGUAGCGGUGAAAUGCGUAGAUAUCUGGAGGAACACCGGUGGCGAAGGCGGCAUCCUGGACCAAUAUUGACGCUGAGGAGCGAAAGCUAGGGGAGCAAACGGG